rnacentral:rRNA from 1 species
UACGUAGGAGGCGAGCGUUGUUCGGAUUUACUGGGCGUAAAGGGCGCGUAGGCGGCGCGGUAAGUCACUUGUGAAAUCUCUGAGCUUAACUCAGAACGGCCAAGUGAUACUGCAGUGCUAGAGUGCGGAAGGGGCAAUCGGAAUUCUUGGUGUAGCGGUGAAAUGCGUAGAUAUCAAGAGGAACACCUGAGGUGAAGACGGGUUGCUGGGCCGACACUGACGCUGAGUGCGCGAAAGCCAGGGGAGCAAACGGG